AGUGAACGCUGGCGGCGUGCUUAACACAUGCAAGUCGAACGAGAACGGAUUAUAGCUUGCUAUAAUUGUCAGCUAAGUGGCGCACAGGUGAGUAAUGUAUAGGUAAUAUGCCUCUUACUAAGGGAUAACAAUUGGAAACGAUUGCUAAUACCUUAUAUUCCUUUUUAUCAAAAGAUAAAAAGGGAAAGAUUUAUUGGUAAGAGAUUAGCCUGUAUUGUAUCAGUUAGUUGGUGGGGUAAUGGCCUACCAAGACGAUGACGCAUAACUGGUUUGAGAGGAUGAUCAGUCACACUGGAACUGAGACACGGUCCAGACUCCUACGGGAGGCAGCAGUGGGGAAUAUUGCACAAUGGACGAAAGUCUGAUGCAGCAACGCCGCGUGGAGGAUGACACAUUUCGGUGCGUAAACUCCUUUUAUAUAAGAAGAUAAUGACGGUAUUAUAUGAAUAAGCACCGGCUAACUCCGUGCCAGCAGCCGCAGUAAAAC
rnacentral:rRNA from 1 species